rnacentral:piRNA from 1 species
UUCCUGAUUGGUGCAAAAACCAUCACUUU